rnacentral:tRNA from 1 species
GCCAGUGUAGCAUAGUGGUUUGAGUGUUGGACUACAACUCUGGAGAUCAAGAGUUCAAUUCCUUGCUUGGCC